rfam:Candidatus Saccharibacteria bacterium GW2011_GWC2_44_17, complete genome.
UAAAAAGGUACUCAAGAGCAUAUAAUGGAUGCCUAGACGUAUAUUACCGACGAAGGACGUGGAAGACUGCGAAAAGUCUCGGGGAGCUGUCAACAAGCUUUGAUCCGGGAAUAUCCGAAUGGGGAAACCCAGCACGAGUCAUGUCGUGUUACUUCUACCUGAAUAUAUAGGGUAGAUAGAGGGAACCGCCUGAACUGAAACAUCUUAGUAGGGCGAGGAAGAGAAAAUAAAUAAUGAUUCCGGGAGUAGUGGCGAGCGAAACUGGAAGAGCCCAAACCUUUUAAGUUUUCAUCCUUCGGGAUGGAUAAGUUGUUAGACGAAUACUUAUUGGGGGUUGUGAUAUAACACGAGACCAAGUCAGAGAACUUUAGUUUACUAGAGGUAUCUGAUUUGCGAUGACAGGCUAACACCUAGUCAGUAAGGUAAGAAAUUUGCGUGGUUAGCAGAAUAGUUUGAAUGACUAUCCAAAGAACGUGAAAGACGUGUACGCGAAAACAACGCUGACCUUAUACGUGUUUUAUCGAGUAGGGCGGGGCACGAGAAACCCUGUCUGAAUCCGGCUGGACCACCAGCCAAGGCUAAAUAUAAUAUACGAUCGAUAGUGAACUAGUACCGCGAGGGAAAGGUGAAAAGAACCCCGGGAGGGGAGUGAAAUAGAUCCUGAAAUUAUAUGCUUACAAGGAGUCGGAGCGGAUUUAUUCCGUGACGGCGUGCUUUUUGUAGAACGAUCCAGCGAGUUAAUUUCUAGUGCAAGGUUAAGUCAAGUGACGGAGCCACAGUGAAAGCGAGCCUGAAUAGGGCGAAUAAGUACUAGGGAUUAGACCCGAAACCGGGUGACCUAACCAUGAGCAGGUUGAAGCGACAGUAACAUGUCGUGAAGGACCGAACCGUCGUACGCAGCAAAGUGCUCGGAUGACUUGUGGUUAGCGGUGAAAUGCCAAUCGAACUCGGAGAUAGCUGGUUCUCCUCGAAAUAGCUUUAGGGCUAGCGUCAAUUAAUUAGCCAACGGGGGUAGAGCUCUGUAAAGGACUGGGGGGAGCAAUCCUACCCACCCUUAACAAACUACGAAUACCGUUGGUGGUACAUUGGCAGUUAGAACGUCGGGGCUAAGCUCGGCGCUCGAAAGGGAAACAGCCCAGACCAUCGUCUAAGGUCCCAAAAUGUAUACUCAGUGGGAAACAAGGUGAGAUUUCUUAAACAGCUAGGAUGUUGGCUUAGAAGCAGCCAUUCAUUUAAAGAGUGCGUAACAGCUCACUAGUCAAGAGAUCUUGCGUGGAAAAUGUAACGGGGCUAAAGUAUACUACCGAAGACAUGGAUGUGACGUAAAUUUAUUUGCGCACGUGGUAGAGGAGCGUUCCUAUCUGCAGUGAAGUUCAACUGGAAAGUUGGGUGGAGCGUUAGGAAGUGAGAAUGCUGGAAUGAGUAACCAUAAGACAUGUGAGAAUCAUGUCGGCCGUAAGAGCAAGGUUUCCUGAGCCAUGGUAAUCAUCUCAGGGUUAGUCGGGCCUAAGCCGAGGCGCAUAGCGUAGGCGAUGGACAUCAGGUUAAUAUUCCUGAACCGGUUAUAAAUUGUACACUGUUCACGGCGGAGUAAUCGAAGCGAAUUCAUGGUAUGUAUUCGUCCAACCUAGGGGGAACCCGAAGGGAGUGAGAGUUAGUCUUCGGACUGACGAUUUCGGUGAGGACGCUGGCUAGAAAAGCAGGUGUACGUGUGUUUAUAGCCGCCCGUACCGCAAACCAACACAGGUGCUCGAGUCGAGUAGACUCAGGCUUACGAGAGAACCUUCGCUAAGGAACUCGGCAAUACAGCGACCGUAACUUCGGGAUAAGGUCUGCCCCCACAUCUUUGGAUGUGAGCCGUGUUCAAUAAGCAAGGUGGUUAAAAUAGUCUGUGAUUAGCGUCACAGACAUGAGUACGCUCUUAUUUAGCAAUAAAUAACGAGUGAUCAAAUCCUUUUUUAAACCAUUUAGAUUUUUUCUGAGACAAUAACAAAUCAUGAUUGAUUUCUUCAUGGUACGUACGCUUAGGUGUAUGUAUUAUGAUUGCUUUUUGUGCACGACCUCUCGCAUUUUAAGAUGUGGGGGCCGCAGCAAAAGAGCCCACGGAACUGUUUACCAAAAACACAGGUCUCUGCUAAUUCGAAAGAAGAUGUAUAGGGGCUGACUCCUGCCCGGUGCCGGAAGGUUAAGGGGAGUGCUUCACGGUGCGAACUGAAGCCCCGGUGAACGGCGGCGGUAACUAUAACCGUCCUAAGGUAGCGAAAUUCCUUGUCAGGUAAGUUCUGACCCGCACGAAUGGAGUAAUCAUGUGGGCACUGUCUCAGCGAAGGCCUCGGUGAAAGUGCAUUGGCGGUAAAGAUGCCGUCUGUCCGUACCAGGACGAGAAGACCCCAUGGAGCUUUACUACAGCUUUACAUUGAUCCGGGUUACAACAUGUGUAGAAUAGGUGGGAGCCUUUGAAGCAGAUACGCUAGUAUUUGUGGAGGCGCCAAGUGAAAUACCACCCUUGUUGUGAUCUUGAUCUCACCGUUACCAUUAUCUGGUAAUGGGACCGUGUAUGGUGGGUAGUUUAACUGGGGCGGUUGCCUCCUAAAGAGUAGCGGAGGCGUUCAAAGGUUGGCUAGCUUCGGAUGGAAAUCGAAGUGAUAGUGUAUGCGCAAAAGCCAGCUUGACUGUGAGGAGUACAUUCCAAGCAGAGACGAAAGUCGGAGCAAGUGACCCGCUAUACGUACUUUAUGUACAUGAAUGUGGGAUCGAUAGCGCAAACGGAUAAAAGUUACCCUGGGGAUAACAGGCUUAUAGCGCCCAAUAGUUCACAUAGACGGCGCUGUUUGGCACCUCGAUGUCGGCUCAUCACAUCCUGGAGGGGGAGCACCUUCCAAGGGUUCGGCUGUUCGCCGAUUAAAGUGGUACGCGAGCUGGGUUCAGAACGUCGUGAGACAGUUCGGUUUAUAUCCGGUACGGACGUUAGGAAAUUUGAGAAGAUCUACCCCUAGUACGAGAGGACCGGGGCGGACGAACCUCUGGUGUAUCGAUUGUGGCCACCUGCUGCAUUGUCGAGUAGCUACGUUCGGAAUAGAUAAGUGCUGAAAGCAUAUUAAGCACGAAACUAACUUCAAGAUUAGAUUUCCCUAUGAGGACACAGAAAGACUAUCUGUUUGAUAGGCGCAAGGUGGAAGUACAGCAAUGUAUGGAGCUAAAGCGUACUAAUAGUCCCAUCGCCUUUUUAUG